rnacentral:rRNA from 1 species
AUACGUAGGUGGCAAGCGUUGUCCGGAAUUACUGGGUGUAAAGGGAGCGCAGGCGGGCGUGCAAGUCAGCUGUGAAAUCCAUGGGCUUAACCCGUGGGCUGCAGUUGAAACUGUAAGUCUUGAGUGAAGUAGAGGUAGGCGGAAUUUCGAGUGUAGCGGUAAAAUGCGUAGAUAUUCGGAGGAACACCGGUGGCGAAGGCGGCCUACUGGGCUUUAACUGACGCUGAGGCUCGAAAGUGUGGGGAGCAAACAGGAUUAGAUACCCUGGUAGUCCACACUGUAAACGAUGAUUGCUAGGUGUGGGGGGUCUGACCCCUUCCGUGCCGCAGUUAACGCAAUAAGCAAUCCACCUGGGGAGUACGGCCGCAAGGCUAAAACUCAAAUGAAUUGACGGGG